rnacentral:rRNA from 1 species
AUGAAUUGUAUUGUUUUCAUCUGGUUGUCUCUCAAGUUCAGGAUAUGGAAGUCUGACCGCAGGGUUUCCGGGGGCCUACAGGCGACCAUGUCGCCGUGUUCUUUCUGUCUUCAGGAGUAUGAAACAACGGACCACCUGCUUGUUCAAUGCGUGCUCCCAAUCCCUCAAAUACAAUGCUUGAUUCUUUUGUCAUGCAAACUUUCUGGACGUAAUGCUCGUGUCUUUGGUAACAAUCAUCAAGUAUUUCCUGAAGCUAGGCUAGGAGAUAUCAUUUACCAAGAGCUUCAGCAAUGGAUACAUGCAGGAGCCAGAAGUUUAGUGCUAAUUGGAUUGGGUAGGACCGUAGGAGUAGUUCCCUGUAAUAUAUGUUUCUUUUUUUUUUCCUUUACCUGCCCUAGAUGA